rnacentral:lncRNA from 1 species
CUCAAGACUAGACGAAAAUUACAUUAAAUUGAUUUUUUUCAGUUAUUAGUAUUUUAUAUGGCCUCACCAAAUCCAAAAAUUCCUUUUUCUUUAUAACCUUACUAGGUAUCCUCAAUUCCCUUCAAAUGGUACCUAUCUUAGAUUAUCUACUGCCUCAUCCACUGCUUGCUAAUUUACUGAGAACACUGCCUUCCGGUGGUGGUUCACGGGGAAGUGUUACUGCUCCCUUAGGUCUGGCCUGUCCCCCAGGCCUUCUGCCUCCGAGCCGGCUUUGUGUGGAGGGGUUGAAGGGUUGCAUCCAGCAGCCCUGACCGGCUUUGAGAAGGCAGGCCUGGGGAGCAGCCUGGGGGUGUACUGUGUUCUCCUCCCCAGUCCUCCCUUCCCGCUUCCUGGUCGCCAGGCCCUGAGCAGCUUCUCCGCUGGGCCCCUCUGCCACGCUAUUCUUCCUCAGAGCCUGCAAUCUUGGAUUGAAACUUAUGAAACUCGAGCCAGAAUACCGCCCCUCCUCAGCGGUGUGUCUCAGGGAUGAGAAAAGUGACUUAAGACAGUUAUCUUAUGCUCACUUAAAAUUCAAUCUUCCCAAAAUUCUUUACAUAAAGCUGCCAGUGAGUCUUGCCAUAGAAAACUCUGGGUCUGGUAAUGAGUCUAAUUUCUCUUUAAACACUGCCAAUUUCUACUGCACACACUUGAUGAUUCUGCUAGUUAACUGGAUAGAGUAUUGACCAGCGUGUUACAUUUAGCGCUCUGCUUCACCAAGUCUCUAACGUCGUCUCCAGUGACUCGUGAGCGCUGCGUUCUGGUGCUAGCACAUCCAGGCAUUCCCUUAGUACAGGGAGCAAGAUGUUGUGUUGACAGAUUUCAGUGACAUUUAAAUAGAAUUAUGCUAUCAUAAUUAGAGGGUAAGAAAAAAUUGUCAUGCAUCUCAGGUCUCUGAAAUUGCAUACAGUGGAAAAGUUCUUGGCAUGACACUCAGCUAAAAUUUAGAGAUAUACAAGCACUGAUAUAUAGACACCCCACACAAAUAUCCAAAGUUGCUCAACUCCGUCAUAUAAAAUGGAAUCAUAUUUGAAUAUAAUCUGCACAUAUCCUCUGUAUACAUGCUUUAAAUCAUUUCUAAAUUCCUAAUUUAUUAUAUAACUUACUAUAACUAUUAUAGUGUAAACACUAUGUAAAUAGCUGUUAUACUGCAUUGUUUUGGGAAUAAUCACAAGAAAAAUGUCUACAUAUUCCAUGCACAAAUAAUACUUUUUCUGAAUAUUUCAUAUUCGGUUUCUUGAAUCUGAGGAUACCAAUAUACUGUGCUUAUUUGGCAAGACGAUAGCUCAGAAGCUGCAGAAUUAAAAACCUUAAGCUUUUCAGUUUGGGCAAGCCUCUAUAGCCUGUAUGUCCCAAGAUAUCUUUGAGAACUACUAAGAAAUCAAAUAAUGAAAACAUACCAGUUUUAGAAACAAUUUUAAGGCAAAGCAAUAGGAAAAAAUGUCUUUGGAGACUUAAAGCUUGAUAAAGACUUUUUGUAAUUACAUCUCAUCCUUAAUAUCCCCAAUUCUGAUUGCCUCCUAUAAAAUGAUCUGUUUUGUGUAAAGUCCACACUGAAUAUUAACUGCAUUUAUGCAGACUUCCAAAUGAUUCCUGAAGCAGCAGCUCUGUAGCUACCACCCACAGUGGUACUUUGGGUGAAUCGAUUUCCACUCUGGAGCACUAAGCUGAAGGAAGACAGAUCAGGAGCAAGAAAAGCAAAACUUCAAAGUUCCACUACUUUUUUGGAAGGAGGGGAUGGUACUGGGAUUGAACACAGGGCCUUUGUACCAAGUUACAUCUCCAGCCCUUCUUAUUUUUAUAUUUUGAAACAAGGUCUAAGUGGCUAAGUUGCCUGGGAUGGACCUAAACUGUGAUCUUCCUGCUUCAGCCUCCCAGAGUGCUGGGAUUACAGCUAUGUGCCACCACAUCUAGCUUCACUGCCUAUUUAAAAGGGUCAAUCACCAACCACUACCCUUGUCACAAAGAAAGCAAAGUAGUGUAAAAUGGACUGCUGGAGAUCUUGCCCCUCACUUGACUGCCUCAGCACUGCCCGUCAUUAAGCAUGAGAAUCGAUGCAAACAUUAAUUUAACUGCUUCAGCAUUAUAAUCUUAAAAUUGAAUUCUUCAGAGUUAAAAUGCUCUCCUUCUUUUCCCUUCUUGUACUUCCAAGGGCAUACCAUACCACUUAGCUGUGUAUUUAACUUCUUUAACCUUUACCAAGGACAGGAACAAGAUGAUUAUAGAGAAUGCUCAUAUUUUGAUACUAGAUGGUUGUUAUCUUGGUAAUGUAGAGUUAGAACCUGUAAUUACUUCAAAUUCUAUGAAGUGUUGCUUCUGAAUAUUUACCUUCAAGUCCCAAUAAAUGAGAAUGAAAAGAGUUUCAAACAUUCCCAGAACAUUUAUAAAGUAUUAUGAGAACUUUUCUCCUGGAAUGGAACAUCAUCUAUGUAACCAAAAUAUGAGGUUUCCCUUGAAAAGCUUAUUUGGUUGAUGCUUCAGAGAUCAGAGCUUCUUCACAAGGAACGAACACUACAUAGAAUAGUUUUUCUAAAUGCCAAACCGGUGUCUUGGGAGGGAAGGUCUGGCUCUGGGAAGUGAGCACUGCUUAGUGUACCAGACAGAUGAUGCCAGGGAUUCUCAUUCUGGUCACCUACAGCCCCAACCAUUGACAAGAGGAACUUCAGAAUACCUUUAGGAUUGAAUGAAUUCUAGACAAAAAAAAAAACUAUCUCAUUUUCACCUACAAUGUCUAAAAACGUACAAAUAUUUAGCACUGAAGGUUGUUUCGUAAUUCAUUUGUGAUUGUCCUAUUACUAGAAUAAAGGAACAAUGGGAGAAAGAUAAUCCUACCUGUUUUAGUAAACUACACCCCUAUUUAGUACUUUUUAAACACUGAAAAAACAAAGAAUAUCCUAAAGCAAAUUAGUUGAAAUUCAUAGCUAACCUCUCAAAAAUAUUUAUUUUCCAUUUUCAGAGCGGCAUCCUUGAAGUUAAAGUAGUUCUCAAAUGUGAAUUCCCAACAGGAACUAGAAGACUUACAUGUUAAAAGCAUUUAAAAACUGUUGUUAAAAAAAAAAAUUCUGUUGGCAUAUGCCCUUUAAGUACUUUCAUGUAACUGAGAAAUGGAGAGGGGAAAAAAAAAAUGCUCAAUUUGCACAGUGAGACAUUAAAGUUAAGAUAAAAACUAAGUCCUGCUAUUUAACCAAUUUUUAAAUUUUCAAAGUUGCCCUGGGCUGUAUUAAACAGUACUCCUCUCUAAACUGCCAUUCAAGGACCUACCUAGAGUUCAAUAAGUAUCUUACCCCAAACCUUCAACUACAAGGUUGUUUAUAUUUGUAUGAGGAAAAAAUAUAAAUGAAUUGUACUGUUCUUCAAUUAUCAAGUUCCAUCAUCAAAAUUUUUAAUUGACUAGCAACCGAAUAACUUACCUUCAGUGGACAUAAUUUUAAACCUUAAGUAUAAUUAAUACCAAGCAUAUCCUCUAAAUCUUUUAAGCCGAGUAAUAGUAGUGCUUACUUUUUGUUUGUUUGGUUUCUUUGGUACCGGGGAUCAAACUCAGGUCUUUGCGCUUGCAAGGCAGGCGAUGGAACCACUGAGCUAAAUCCCCAGCUCAGUAGUGCUUACUUUUAAUAUAACUUUAAAUUUUUCUCUAAAAUUUGUAUUUAAAAAUAAAAUUUGUAAAAAAUCCUAUUUUAGCAGGCUUGAUUAUAUCAACCGGUAAAACUUUAUUUUAUAACAGGAAUUGGAUCAAAUGAUUAUUAUAAUCCAGAGGAAGUAUUUUAUAACCAUAGCAAAUGCCAUUAUACAUACUGCUAAUACAGAUUUAAUAGACAAUACUGAACUAUACAAGAAUUAUUUAUUUUUCCUUAAUCUCAAAGCUAUUAUUAGUAGUACAAAAAAGCCAUAUUAACAUUUUCCAUUAGAAAACAACAUGAUAUACAAAACUUUGGAUGAAAAGAUAUGUCAAACUUCAUUUAUCACUUGGAAAAAAAUCCACCACUCCAUCAGUACCACCCAAAGUAUUUUAGGCAGUGAUUAAAAUCAAAAUAAUGCAUUUUCAUAAGUUCCAGCUGUUAAAAGAACAAAGCUAGUAAUAUAUAAUAAUAGUUUUGUACACAGUAGUUUUGACUACUCACUUUGGGAGUUUUGUUUUAUAUCCUUUUUUUAAAAAAACAGUCCUACUACAUACGGAGCAAACAGGUAUCUAUGAAGUUAGUGUGGGAUUCAUAGAUCAAUCCUUUGGUUACCAAAUUUCAUUUCUAACUUUCACAUGUCCUUCAAGAUCAAGAAACCUAAACAAAAAACACACACCCUUCCAAAUGUUAUUAGUGGGGAGGAUGCUUUUUAAAGAGAGGUCAUGAAUAAUUAUUUUUGACCCACCAUCCCAAUUAAAAGAGCACGUCAAAAAGCUAUUUUGUCAUUUUCCAAAUGAGGUGAAGAUCUGGCAUUCAGGUGUUACAAACGCAUUUCACUGAUUCAUCACCAACCCUGCACUGCACACUUCUCAAAACCCGCACAACAGGUGGGCAGGAACAAGUCUGCACCAAAUAUGGCAGUGGUACCCGACAUGUACCCUAAAAUUCAAUUCAGGUUAGGGUCCAGAGAAGAAAAAAAAUCCACUUACCACUUAGUGAGUGGUAAUGAGCAGAAGAGGUGAACUAGUUUAGGGUCAUUAAUGUCUAAGGAAUUAUCAUCUACAGUAAAAAAUGCUAACGCGCUUUCACUUUAAAAAACGGUCCAUAAACUGACAUUACCCAUUCAUUCAUGCCAUUGCUGCUAUGACAGGUGUCUGUUUCCUUAACCACAACACAUCAUCUAAGCAACACUCCGGACAUCAGCCAAGUGCUACGCCAUUACAGUGCCAGGUGAUACAGCAUCAAUUCCUGCAACACACUGGACCACUUUCACCACCCAUCUGCAGCUUGGAUUCACCAAACUCUCCCUCACUGGCAAGUUUUUGGACUUGCAUGACAAGAAAAUGAGUUUAUGGAAUAUUCUCGUAAGACAUUUAUAUAGUCUUAGGGUCACACUACUUUCGUCCUAAACAACUUAAUCUGACAUGCUAUAGAGAUACAAUAAAACAUAACUGUUCAGUUUUAAAAUGAAAACUAAAUGCAGACAAAUGGUGACAGAUUUGACAUGGAAUGUUAUACGAUCUACACAUGUAAUCUGACACUGCUGAUUAUGGACUUCAGAGCUUGAAAACUUCAGAUUAGAGACCACAACCAAAUUCACUUUUGGAGACAUGCAAGAUCUCCCUAAAAAUUAAGCUAAGACCUACAAGUCUUAGUCAUUAUCAGGACAUAAAGAAAGACAACAGAUUUGUACAUUUUAUUCACAUUUAUUUUUCGCUUUUAGUGUGCUCACAGAAAAUUAGAACACCUUAAGCAGGAGUUUAAUAGCAAUUUUUGUAAGCAAAGUUACAUUCCAUCUCUAAGUCAAAUUGGUCAAAGCUUCUCCAGUAUUUACAAAACAUGAUAGACAAGAUGCUACACAAAACCAUCGCAUCUGAAGAUUUUUUUCCUUUAUUCUCAAAGACAACUGGAAAAGAAAGCAUCGUCUGCUGUAAUCAAAAACAUACCACAGUAUAAACAGUAACCAUUCCACUUAUCACAGCUUGGUUGAGUUUAAAAUUUGUGUUUAAAAGGUCCAAGAUGACUGCAGUUUUACAAAAAUGGGCAGGGUGGAAAGUUGCAAACUUCAUGUGCUUCUGGAUAUCAAGAUUUGUUUUUAUACAAUAGUCACAGUUAAAAACACCCUGCUGGUAAUACAUAAUUACACUUUAUUAAGGUCAUAAACCAGCAAUAAACAAUAAAGCCUAUACAACUUGUAGUUCUACUUAAUCACUGACUGGUACAGCUAACAUGAGAUAAGUGAAAAGUUCCUAUGGUUUAAAUGAACUCCUAAGACUAUGAUCUUUUUAAAAAAUCUGGGUAUUGGUGUUUUAAUCUUUCCUUCUUAAUCAAGACUUGUAGUGUUGUAAACCUGCCUCACAAAAUACAUCCUAGUAACUUUUCUUUAAAAAAAAAAAAAAAAAAAAGACCGCCUUUACACCCUCGUGUCGGGCAGCACGGCAUCCAGUGAGUCACGUGCCGCCUCCCACGUGGCCCUCUCACUUCAUCAGAUGUCCCUUUGUGACCCACCCAUCUCCUUCAUAUAUGGGCACGUCCAUAAAUUGAUAAAGAAAGUUUACACUUUUUGAAUAAAGAUGCAAAGAAUGCAAAAACAUUAAUACUGAUGCAAAAAAACUUAAAAAAAAAGGAAAAAAAGGCCGAGGAAGACAUCUAAGCCGUCUUCGACCUGUUGGAAUGGUGGUAACAGAAUGAUCUGAGAUGGGAUCUGUGGGGAGGGGAAAUAAACACAAACAAAAUUUGCUGCUCAAAAAAUGGUGAAAUUAAAAAAAAAAAAGACAUCCUUAAAAUCAAUCCCUGGUUGUAGACGAGUUCUCCAAAACCAGUACCUGGCACCACUCCAACAAACAAUCGGGGGAGAGUCCGGCGCCACGCGCCCCGUGCCUACUCAGCGGGCUCUGCUGGGGCCUCGGGACUGCACUCGGGCUGCGGCUCGGCGGGCGCGGCCGCGGGCUCCGGGGCCUGGGCCUGGGCCUGGGCCUGAGCGGGCUCCGCCUCCUGCUCCGGCUCGGGCUCGGAAGCCGCGGCCAAGGGCGCCUCCCCGGCGGCCUCCUUCUCCUCGGGCUGCUCCCCGGCGGCGGGCGCGGGCUCCUGGGCGGCCGGUGGCUCCUGGGCCGGGGGCUCCUCCCGGCUGCGCCGCUGCCUCCGCCUCCCGCGCGCCUGCCGCCCCGCCGCCCGCCACCUCCGCGCCCUCGGCCCCCGCCGGCUCCCCGGGCGCCGCCGCCUCCGGGCCCGCGAGCUCGUCCUUGGCGCCCUCGCCAGCCGCGCCCUCAGCCUCGGCGCCCUCGCCCGCCUCCUUCUUGCUCUUCUUGAAGGAGAAGCCGCUCAACUUGAAGGACUUCUUGAAGGAGAAGCGCUUCUUUUUUUUUUUUCGGGGUCUCCCCGCUGGGCGAGGGCGCGGCACCGUCCUCCGCCUUGGGCGACGACGUGGAGGACGCGGCGGACGCGGCCUCAGCCUCGGCCUCGGCGGCGCAGGGGGGACCCGGGCUCGGCGGGAGGCUCGGCGGGCGCGGCGGGCUCCGACGCGGCGGCAGGAGGUUCCUCGGUGGGCGCGGCGGGCUCCUCCUGCUCAGCGGCCGGCGCGCUGCCAUUGGCCUGCGGCUCCUCCUUGGCGCCCGGCUCGGCGGCCGCGGGUGAGGCGUCGCCGUUGACCUUCACAUGGCCGUUCUCCUGCGGGCACAGAGAGCAGCGCGACGAGGCCACGGCCGCCUCCCCGGGCCUCUCCGCGGUGGCCUCUCCCUUGGCGGCGGUCUUGGAGAACUGGGCGCCCAUGCUGGCCUCCUCAACAAAGAAACUCCGCAGAUCCGAGAGCAAGACAAAGAGCCUGGGGGCGGCGCGGGGCCGGGCGGCGGCGGCGCGCACCGGGGUGGGAGGCGAGACGACGGCGGGCGGGCGGACGGACGGACAGACAGACGGUCGGCGCGCUCCGGGAGAGAGGGCUGGGGCGCGGCGAUCAAAGGGCGGCAGCGCGGGCGCGAGGGGAGAGGUGGGAGAGUCGAGCGCAAAAAAAGGAGCCCAAGUGUAGUUUAAAAAAAAAAGAAGUAAUCAAAAAAAAAUCCCAGAUUUGUAGCCGCACUGUAGACAAGAGGAAAAUGGAGAAAUCUCCCUGGUCGCUAAUAAGAUGCGGGGUCCAACGCCCAAGUGCACAGAUGAAUGGGCUCGCGGGCGCUGACGCGGCCCCCGCGCGCGCCGGCCAAUCCGCGCGCCGCACACAAAGCAGGGGGCGGGGCCAGCGCUCCCGGCGAACAAUGGAGCCGCGCUUUGCGAACGGUUUGAAAAAUCCGUCUCGGCCGAGAAUUAAUGUCCUCCAAAUAAAUAAAUCAAUUAAAAAAUACAUGCCUCUCGGCUCCCUCCGCUUGCAAAUCAUAAUGUGGCCCUCGAUUGGCUUGCUUUGUUUGGAAUUAAUUAACGAGGGAGGGGGUACUUGUGGACGGGGCGGAGACAGCGUUAACUUGACUGCCGCGACUCUGGCGUCUGUCUCCGCGUCCGCCUCCUCCCCGCCCCCACCCCCGGUGUUUGCGUGUGUGUGUGUGUGUGUGUGUGUGCGUGUGGUGCAGACAAUGGGUAGGACCAGGUUGUUUGCAGCCUGUUUUCUUUCUCCACGUUCCUUAUGGGAUUCGCAGACAGUGCGCAGGGCUGGCUUGCUUUCUUUUUUUAAACUGCUGCAAUUGCUAAAUCUUCCCACAUUGAAAGGUAUUUAAACCACGAAGAUCGAAUUUCAUCAAACCAGAUCUCGAGUUGGAAUUAGGUCUGUAGGCCAGAUGUGGAAAAUGCAAAAGCAGCAAACAGCAGAAGCCACACUCUCUUCCCUCUCCCACAUUGGCGUGAAAUAAAAUAUUUUGCGAUUGGCCUUCCGAGUUCAUCAGAUUCCACCUCUCUGGUUAUGCAUUCCCGAUUCGGGAUUACUUUUCACAUGGAAAACGAGAGCCUUUUGCAGAAGAUCGAGAUUGCUCGCGUUUCGUCACCGUGAAUGACAUAAUUUCCCUCUGUGCGGAGACCCAGCCCGGAGAGUCCGGUCCGCGUUUGCAGUUGGAGUGCUUCGGUCCACGGCCGUAGGGCUCGUUUUCAGCCUCCCGCCGACCUCGGAGGGGUUCCUUUGUUUUGACUGUGAGAGUGUGGCCCCGGCAGGGCCGGCAGGCCGCCGGCGGCGGUGAGGUUCUAGACCACGACUCGGAUCACGACUAGGCAGAAGCCUCCUGCGGUCCGGGCAGCGUGAGGCUCGGGCGCCCGGGUCCCCUCGGUGUGUAAACAGGUCCUGGCCCGGCCGCCGCACCCUGGUUCCCAGCGCCCGGCGCUGGUGGCUGUGGGGGCUUUAAUUUAACGUGCCUGGAGGGUCAGGCGUGCACCCAACAAGCUGGUCCUCUACCACCCGUAUUGUGGAGAAAAACCCACCACACCAUCUUUCUAGUUUUCACCUAGUGGUCGAUCCUGCAGUGUGAGUGAUCUUCCCCUGUGGACCUGAGAAGCAGUCGAGGGAAUGGCUCUCUUUUGGUUCUAGCUCUGAAAUCUCAGCUUUAUUUUCUGCUCAUUGUAGGGAAAUAGGUCAGACUCUGAGUGAAAAAGACAGCUGGUUCCAGCCAAUAACUCUUUGUUCAAGUGUUGUUUUGGAAAUCACCAAGCUGAACGUCGUUACGCGAAGCGCCACCUCCUCGCUGUCCAGCUCCCGCGGACGCCUUACUGGAUCGCGAAGUCAGUCCACACGGCAGACGGAAGGCCGCUUUCGCGGAAAGGCAGCGCGCUGCAAGGCCUGAGACCCGGCGCAGCACGCCACGCACGCCUCUCCUCCGCACACCUCCCACCCGAGCGGCCGACCCGCUCGCCGUCCGGAGAUCCCGAAGGCGCGCUUAAGGCUGUUGGUCCCCCACCCCCAACGUGAAUUGCCCCCCUUCCUCCUCACCCCCUUUCUGCUUUAGAUUGGGUGACUGCUAGCUCGCUUUCGGAUUUUCUCCCAGACACGUCCCUCGCCUCUAUUUGGGGGCUGCUCUGAUUGCUCCUUUGUUACCAGGCUGCAGUGGAGCUUUCCCCCUUUUCUUUCUCGAACGCCUAUUUGGCGGUAUCGGCGCGUCUCCCAGGCAACGGCCAGGGCUGCG